GGAAAGAUUCACGUUAUGGCGGGAUCCCCUAGUACGGCGGUGAGCGGUCUAGCCCAACCUUGAAAGCCCCCGCUUCGGAAUUUGAAGGUAGUCUCAAGAGGAACGUGCCCUUCUAAGUCUAUUGUAAAAUGCUUGCAAAGGGGGAGAUAACCGCGUGUGAUUCAACACCAUACAUAUCUUCCCCCUCCAAAGAGUCGAGUUGUUUUCUAAGACACGAGUUAAGUGGGGAAUAAAUUCCAUCUAAAGCUAAAUAUUGAUCUAAGACCUAAAUAUUGCAAGGACAGUGAUGGAAAACAAGAAAGCACUUUGAAAAGAGAGAAAAAAAUUGCAAGAAAAUGUAAACAGUACGUUUUUUUUUUUUUAAGCACAACUUUUUGUUGAGAAACGCGUUCUGGGAUUCAGCCUAAAAGUUGUUUGAAGUUUGUUCCGGAGUGCUGGUCAACGCUGAUACCUCCCCACCCUCAAGAGGCCUGGGAAUCUGGCACGCUGGGGGGAUGGUUGUAGCCUUCUAGUCUUGACAAGGGCCCCAGACCGAGGACAGCAGCGUACUCGCAAGAGCGGGCCUUCGGGCACCUUUACGCUUAGGGCGUUGGCAUAAUGGCCCUCUACCACCCGUCUUGAAAACGGGACCCACCAUGAAACAGGGGUGGUUUGUAAAAAAAAACCUGUCGAGAGUAAACAACAUUCCCCGCCGGAGCGUGUUAAAAUAUACAUCCGUCAGUGCGAAAGCUUUACGCGUUUUAGCUAGGUUCUGUAGCGCCGUAAAACAAAACCCAAAAAGGUCUCUUAUGAAAAAUCUCUCUUGUGAGUAAAAGACCAAAAUAGAGGCGUCGUUCUAUGAGCUAAGAGAAGAGGGUUUUCUACACGACUCAUCUAUACCCGGGGUCAACAUAUGAUUCUCUGUCAAGACCCUUACGAAGCGCGGUGCUA
rnacentral:rRNA from 1 species